GACUCACUGACAAGCUGCUGGAAGCCUUUUUUCCAACAAAGUGCUGAACUCAACUUUUUAGCUCCACUAGAGGGCGACAUUAUGAAGUAGGCGGUGCACUACUUGUGCUCUCUGUUCAAGCAUUGUGUCAAUAAUAACUGCUGCUGUGAAGAGAAGAAUUGUCAGACUCAGUGUUGAACAUCAGCUACUUUCUCCUGUUGCUUUAAACCUUCUUGUAGAGAUGGAACAUUGGCUGUGGAUGAUUCUUGCUGCUCUUUUCUUUGAGUGUAAAGGAGAAGACAGAGUGAUCCAGGAAACAGGAGAUGUCAUUGCUGCUGAAGGAGAGACAGUUAUACUCCCUUGUACAUAUGAAACCAGUUACUCUGGUUCUACUCUGUUCUGGUAUAAACAAGAAGCAAAUGAUUUUCCAAAGCUUCUGCUGCAGCGCGUCUCAACAACAGCAGGUAAUCCUGCAGAAAAACAGAAAGAGAGAAUCGAUGCUGUGGCCAACAAGACAUCAGUUCCUCUGGAGAUCCAGAAGCUUCAGCUGUCUGACUCUGCUGUGUACUACUGUGCUGUGAAGCCCACAGUGACAGGAAACAGCACAACUCUGUACAAAAACCUUUGGAGCAAAGACAACAGAAUACUCCACAACAUCCACUAGAGGGAGUCAAACACUGUCACAGUAUCUUACAGUUGUUAACUCACAUUUCUCUACACUGAGUCCAAUUUUUCAAGACUCUUCACACAGUCAGCACAACAGCAGUCAGUGUGGACGACUCUGUGGAUCACUUUCCACUGCUCGGACACAAAAUGCAGACAAUCACCACAUCUUCAAACUUGGUUCAAAACCUAAAACUUCAUAAAAAUGACUGUAAAUCAGCCUGAUACUUUCUACAUUCUCUACAUCUGCACCUACAAAGAAAUAAAACUAUGAAUUGUCAUGAACUCCAAACU